rnacentral:rRNA from 1 species
GUGCCAGCAGCUGCGGUUAAACAAAGAAUACAAAUAAAUUUUAUAAAUUAUAAGUUAAAUUGUAAUUAAUUUAAUUAAUAAAAAAAUUUUAGGUAAAAUUUUAUUUUUUUUUAAUUAAUAAAUUAAUUUUUAUUGAAUCUUGAAAAUUUUAUUUUUAAACUAGGAUUAGAUACCCUAUUAUUUUAUAAUGUAAAAAAUUAAAAUUAAAGUAGUAAUAGUUAUGGUCUUGAAACUUAAAAAAUUUGGCGGUAUUUUAGUCUAUUCAGAGGAACCUGUAAUGUAAUCGAUAUUCCACGAUGAAUCUUACUUAAUUUUAUUGUUUAAUUUGUAUAUCGCCGUUAUUUGAAAAUUUUAUAAGAAAAAUAAUUUUCUAAAAUUUUUAUUAAAAAAUAAAUCAGGUCAAGGUGCAGUUUAUAAUUAAGUUUUAUAUGGGUUACAAUAAAAUUAUUUAUACGAAUUAAAAAUUGAAAAAUUUUUAUAAAGGUGGAUUUGAUAGUAAAUUUUUAAAGAUAAAAAUAUUGAUUUUAGCUCUAAAAUAUGUACACAUCGCCCGUCGCUCUUGUUAAUAAUAUAAGAUAAGUCGUAACAUAG